UAUACACUAAAAAACAAUAAAUUGUGCACUUUGAAAGGGCAAAUGUUAUGGUAUGUGAAUUCUAGCCAGCUAUCUACCUAUUUAAAAGAACUGGGAAAGAUGAGAGGAAGGCAGCUCCAGUUCUUAUAUUUGAGGUUAGAUCCUCCUAUGAUUGUUCAGUCUCCACCUAUAGAACCGCUACUAUCUUAACUUCCUGGUUAUGUAUAAUUAACACACUGCAUAUUUAUAACAAAAUACAGACACUAUUUGCUAUGUCUGAAGGAUGUAAUGUCAUAAGUUAACAAUGUAUAAGUCAAAAUCAACUUUUGAAUAGGAAAUACUGCUAAUUACAUUAGGAUACCGGAAGAAACUGUCAGCUCCCUGGUUUGAUCCACUAAGGAGAAAGGAAGCCAACAAGAAAGGAAGACUGGAAACACUUACCUGCAUGCUCCAACUUGGCUGGUGAGCUUAAACAUUUCCAAAGAACACUCAGGUUUCCCCAGCAUCAGAACUUCUAAGGGAAGAAGGAGGAUUUCUUUCUGGAUAGGAGACAAGGAGGAGAUGUGGUUUGUUAAAGAUACAAGAGUAACUUCCAGAGCAAGAAUAAAAAAUAGAACAAAUGAGAAAGGAGAAUCAAAUGUUAAAUAAAGAUUUCUUAAACUGUUUUCAUUUGCAAUCCCUUUUUUUUUACAACUAGAGUGAUUGCUAUCUCUAUCAUGUAGCUUAAAGUAGCUUGCAGACCAUUAUCUUACAGUGUUAUAUGUGUAUAAAUAAAAUACCUAAAUUGUUUCCAAAUCAAGUUGAUCUGUAACAUACAGAUUUCAUAACCACAUUUCAAAUUUACUGAAUUCAGAAUAUCCAGAGAUGACUAGUUGAUGAUAAUGAUGAAAAUAACAACAACAAUAAUAAACUUGGAGUAUGAUUUUUAUGAUCAGCCAUGUUUGAAAAUGAUCAGGCACCAUUAUGAAAGACAAAACACACACAAACCAUAAAGUGCAUAUGCUUUAAAAAAUGUGAUAUGAAAUCUGAAAUGAGUGAAUUAAGGAUAUAGAAAGAGGAAAUGUUUUCUGUAAUAUAUGUCCAGUUAAUAGCGAUACUGCAUAAGAAUCCAGGUUUAUUAAUAUAGUGUAUUGGUUGAGCCCUCUGCUUCCCUUUCUCUUCAGUUCACACAGAUAUUAUGAAAUUUAAGAUGUAAUGAUUGAUGGUACAUCAGUUUCUUGCAUUAGCUUUAAAAUCUUAAAGGACCAAUAAAAUCUCCAAGGACAAAUAAAACAUUUCACUUUUGCACAUAAUAUUAGAAAAACCUUAAAAUUAAAUUUUAAUUUAUGAAUUUGGAAGACCAUUUCACCAGCGGUAAAAACAUGAAGCAGUAGAUGGUGGUUGCCUCUAGGGAGUAUGAUGAAAGUGAUAAUAUAUAUGUAGAUUGGGAGGGAUACUCAUGUUGUAUAAAGUUUUGCUAUUUUAACUUUUCAAAAAUUAAGAUUCAUAAAUUUGGUUUUCACAUUUUAAAAGGUGUACAGAAAAAAGAAACUAUAAUCUAUCCAAGAAAACUUACUAGAUUAGUUUUCUUAUAGCUUCAUAACAAAUUAGCAUAAAGGUAGCAGCUUAAAAAAAACAUAAAUUUAUUAUCCCACAGUGUCUGUGAGUCAGAAUCUAGGGGUAUCUUAACUGGGUACUCUGCAAUAAUAGCCAAACCUGGGUUCUCAUGUGGAAGAUAGACUAGGGAAGAUUCUGUUUCCAGACUCACUUGGACUGAUAGACUAAGGGCCCUAAUUUUUGUCUCAUGGUUGGAAGCUGCCUUCAGCUCCUAAAAGCCUCCCUCAGUUUCUUGCCAACUGAGCUUCGUAAAAUAGUUAUUUACUUCAAAGUCAUCAAGAGAGUUACACAUAACACAAUCAUGGGAGAGACAUCCCAUUACCUUUCCCAUAUUCCAUUGAUUAAAAGAUAGUCACAGGAUGAGUCAUGACUUAGCUUUUUUUUUUUUUAGAUCUUGUUGACAUAACAGAGACUAUUUUAGAAGGAAAGAACUUAUUUAUUGACACUCAGUAUUGUGUCAGGUACUUUGCUAAGCACUAUAAACUAUUUGCAUAUAGUAUUUCUUAUGGAAUUCCUAUAAAGCAGUUACUACCAGUGCAAUUUUCUGAUGACAAAUCAGUUAUUUUCUUGGUAUGACACAAAUAACAAGUAUUAGGACAUGAAUUUUAACCAAAGAUGUGCCUUAAUCAAAGUUUUUCUCUUUUCACUUUAAUACAUUACUAUGUUGGCAGGCUAGAGGUUAUAAAAGUUUCAUUUGCUCACCACUUUGAACAAGAUAGUACAUGUUUAAAGGGCAGAAGUGAAAAGGGAUAUGAAAAAAUAGAAGCAUUAUUAAAUCAAUUAGCAUAUGACUUCACAAUACUAGAAUUAAUCCACUUUGUAUUAUUUUUAAUUAUUUAAUUACAAAUACACAACUUUGACACUGAAGACAUUCCUUAGAAAUGAGUCUAAUGGAUUAGACCAAAUCCAGGUUUUCUAAGGAAUAGCUAAAGAAUUUACAGUUUUUCCAAAUGGACCCUUCUUUGAAAGUUAAAUAGUAAUAAAAUCCACUUAUAAUUUUUUUCAUAAUUGGCAAUAGCAAUUUCUGCAUUUUAGAUUAAUUGCUAAGAAUUUUCAUUUCCCAUAGGUGGCAGCAUGAAUGUCAAUAGAAUAUUCAUUACUAUCCAUAUUAGUUCAGAUCUUCUAUCAUAAUGGCAAAGUACUAUUUUGGGAGUUUUCUGACUCCAUUACAUCUUUUGAAUCUACUUUAGAAUUAAAGAAGGAAAUGAGUCAUUUAUUUUGUUAAAGUAUAAUUGUAAGUAACAGUGUAAUUCUGCACCUUUUGUGUGAAAGCUUUUCUUCUUAUUUUUUUGUCUUUUGUCUUUUUAGGACGUACCCGCCGCAUAUGGAGAUUGCCAGCCUAGGAGUCGAAUGGGAGCUGUAGCUGCUGUGGGCCUACUCUACAGCCACAGCAAUGUGGGAUCUGAGCUGCAUCUGCCACCUACACCACAGCUUAUGGUAACGCCGGAUCCUUAACCCACAGAGCAAGGCCAGGGAUUGAAACUGCAUCCUCAUGGAUACUAGUUGGGUUCAUUAACUACUGAGCCAUGACGGGGAACUCCUAAUCAUUACUAUUUAACUAAUUUUACAUAAAUGAAAAUUAAAAACUAAGAUUAAAAUUUAAAAAAUUAAAUUUUUAAAUUUUAAUUUUUACAUAAAUGAAAAUUAAAAACUAAGAUUAAAGUUUAAAAAAUUAAUAACUUUAAUUGGUAUAUCUGAGUGGUCAAUAUACUACUGUCACAACUGACAACAUAGUCAUACUAUAAUGAUUAGCAAAUUCUCUUAUGAUGCAUAGAAUUCUUUCUGUAUAUGUGUGAAAAAGUGUGUAUGUGUAAUACUGUAUGCAUAUUUUCUGAUUGAAUCAGCUCUCUUGAACUGUAUGUAUUUUAAAAGUUUGCUCAUUUCUUUGAAUUUUUCAAAGCACUCAGAAAAAGGGUUCACAUUUGCAUUUUAAGGAAUGCUAAAGAUUCAAUCAACUGUAAGCUGAUUUUUACAUACCCUUUGAAACAAUGGAAAUUUUUUUCACUCUCCCAAGUGUAAAACUUAAAUUCUAAUUACAUAAAUUCUAAAAGAAGAGAAAAAGAGUUCAGUUGCAGUUAACUUUAGGUUAAUGUUCAACCGGAAAGAUGUUUUACCUUAAAGUUUCUCUGUAUUUGUUUUCUUUCUUUCUUUUUUCUUUCUUUUUUUUUUUUUGGUAGGCUUUUCUCUUCUAUAUUUUGUAUAACAUUAGCUAUGGAGAAUCCACUGUAUUCUGGAGAAAUGGCAUAUUUCAGAGAAAGUGUCCUGUAUUUUAAGACAGGAAAUAUUUUAACAUAUUUCCCUACCUUUAUGUAUCCUGCUUUAUGCUUCAAAAGCAUGGUAGCAGUUCAGCCUUCAAAUAUCUGCCUUUUAUAACCUAUCUCCUAGGAUAUGUUCCAAAACAAUGAGGUAUAUUGUUGACAAAGAAGUAAAUGUAAUAAUCAGGCAAUAAACCAAGAGUAUUUGCAGCACUACAUAAAAAGACAAAUUAAGAAGACUACCAUGGUAUCCAGAAGCCAUCUGUUAACCAAUGUCAAACUGAUGAUAAAGAAAAUUGAGUUCCCUUGGCAGUUGGUUUUUCUCCAGCUGCGUGCAGCUAUAAAAGAGCCAUCAAAGACAAAUCUGCAUUUGUUGUUAAUUCAGAAAUUCAGUAGAAAGGCAUUGAGAAACCUCUAGUGACAACUUUUUACUCUGAAAGUUGAUGCUAAGAUUCCCAGAAAAGUUAUACAUUAGACCUUGGAUCAGCAUUAAGACCAUCUUGAUAGAGUAAAAAGAAGAUGAUCAAUACAAUUCUUGUAGGUGUGUGCAACACUCAAAUACAAUAAAAAUAUAUUUAUAGCAUGACAUGAGUGAAUCACUUCUAAAGUAAUCAGCCAUAAACGUUAGUUGAUUACCUAUACAUGCAUCCCAUUUACUAUUAAACAUAUCUUAAGGUGAACCUCACUUUAAGCAAAGCCUUGAGAUAGAGCAAUACCAGAAAAUAAUCAUAAAUUUGGAUUAUUAUUAAGCCCUGAUAAAGACUAAUGUGAAAGAUUAAGUUAAGGUGCCCUUCAGAAUGAUUGUAAUACUAACGCUCAAUGGAAACUUGAAGAAGUUAACAUGAUGCUGUGAAGAGGUUGGGAUCUAAAGUCAAGCAAAAGUGAUGCUUCAAAUUCACACUUCAUUCCUUAUUAGUUAUAUGACCUUGGGCAUAUUACUUAAUCUGUUCUAAUGUGUAUAGAAAAAUGAGAAUGAUAAUACCCUUGCAGGGAUGUUGAAAGAAUAAAAUGAAUUAAUGGAUGUCAAAACUUAUUUCUGUCAAAUAAAGCAUUAAAUGUCUUAUCAAUGGAUUACUGAAGCAAUACUAAUUGCUAAGGACUUUAAACUUAUUGUGGAAAGGUCACUGGGCUGAAGAUCAGGAAAUCUAGCUUGUUCUUCCAGCUUUGCCAUAAAUUAGCUAUGUGACCCUGUACAAAUCAUUUAAGUUCUUGGGACCACAGUUUUUACUCUUAUCCUAAAUUGAGGUUGGGAUAGGCAUGGAAUUAAAAUACCUCUGUUAAUUCUAAAAUCCUAUAAUUCCAAGUACUUGGAUUUCAAAACUAAAUGCAGAAUAUAAAAUCACAAAUCUGUGGAACAAUCAAAUCAUUCCAAUCACUGGCAUAUGUUUACUGAUUUUAUUUUAAAAGAAAAAUAGUGGGAAGUUACGUUUAAUACUCCACUUAAGGUCUAAAUUUCUUACAUAUGUUUGUAUUGAAAUGCAUUUAAGUAAACAUGUGUUUAAGUUACUUACUAAAGGUGCCCGGUUGAACUAGAUGUUUGACUUUUCCUGUCCCAACAGGUUAGAAUUUUAAAGU
rnacentral:lncRNA from 1 species